GAUGAACGCUAGCUACAGGCUUAACACAUGCAAGUCGAGGGGCAUCAGGAAGAAAGCUUGCUUUCUUUGCUGGCGACCGGCGCACGGGUGAGUAACACGUAUCCAACCUGCCCUUUACUCGGGGAUAGCCUUUCGAAAGAAAGAUUAAUACCCGAUAGCAUAAUGAUUCCGCAUGGUUUCAUUAUUAAAGGAUUCCGGUAAAGGAUGGGGAUGCGUUCCAUUAGGUUGUUGGUGAGGUAACGGCUCACCAAGCCUUCGAUGGAUAGGGGUUCUGAGAGGAAGGUCCCCCACAUUGGAACUGAGACACGGUCCAAACUCCUACGGGAGGCAGCAGUGAGGAAUAUUGGUCAAUGGGCGCUAGCCUGAACCAGCCAAGUAGCGUGAAGGAUGAAGGCUCUAUGGGUCGUAAACUUCUUUUAUAUAAGAAUAAAGUGCAGUAUGUAUACUGUUUUGUAUGUAUUAUAUGAAUAAGGAUCGGCUAACUCCGUGCCAGCAGCCGCGGUAAUACGGAGGAUCCGAGCGUUAUCCGGAUUUAUUGGGUUUAAAGGGAGCGUAGGUGGACUGGUAAGUCAGUUGUGAAAGUUUGCGGCUCAACCGUAAAAUUGCAGUUGAUACUGUCAGUCUUGAGUACGGUAGAGGUGGGCGGAAUUCGUGGUGUAGCGGUGAAAUGCUUAGAUAUCACGAAGAACUCCGAUUGCGAAGGCAGCUCACUGGACUGCAACUGACACUGAUGCUCGAAAGUGUGGGUAUCAAACAGG
rnacentral:rRNA from 1 species